rnacentral:pre_miRNA from 1 species
ACUAUACUCCCUCCAUCCAACAAAAGAUGUCUCAAGUUUCGUCAAAAUUUGGAUGUAUCUAAACAUGACUUAGUGUAUAGAUGUAUUCAAAUUUAGUCAAAGUUGACACAUCCUUUAUUGGACGGAGCAGUAUAAA